rnacentral:rRNA from 1 species
AUGGAAGCUCCUCUGCACCAGCUGGCCCCCAUGCAGCAAGCACUGCUCGCCCAUCCCCAGAACUGCAAGCACGACGCCGCGGCGACGAUGGCCGCGACGGACAUGGCCUGCGUCCAGCAGCAGCAGCAGCUGUUGCAGCUGCAGCCGGCGGCGGCGAACCCGAACACGCCCUCGGCCGCGGCGCGGGAGCAGUGCCCGCGGUGCGCGUCGCACGACACCAAGUUCUGCUACUACAACAACUACAACACGUCGCAGCCGCGCCACUUCUGCCGUGCCUGCCGCCGCUACUGGACGCUCGGGGGCUCCCUCCGCAACGUCCCCAUCGGGGGCUCCACCCGCAAGCGCCUGCGCCCGGCGCCGCAGCAGGCGAUGCGCCGCCCGCCCGUCCACUUCGGCGCGCCUCCGCCACCGAUGCCGGCGCAGUCGCACUCCCAGCAGGCUCCGCAAGGCGGACUUCUCAGCUCGCUGUUCGCGCUAGGCGGGGCGCCGCUGUUCGAGGGCCGCGUCGGGUUCGACCUCGGCCUCGGCCUGCCCGGGCUGAGCCAGGUGGGGCUCGGCGGCAGCGCCGGGGAGUUCGGCCUGCACUCCCUCGGGCUCCGGGGCGGCCAUGCAGGGACGUCGGCGCCGAUGCUCUGGCCAACUGCGUUCUUGGACAACGGCAAUGUGGACACGUGGAAGGUGUCCGGCGGCGGGGCGGCUGCCAUGUGGGCGCCGGAGUUCUCUUCUGCGCCGACGGUAGCACAGGUCGGCGGCAAUGGCAUGUUUCAUGGCGGGGCCCAGAUAAUGGGACAACUGUGA